UCCUAACAAUUUUCCGGGUAAAACAAAAUAUAGAAAGAAACAGCCCCGCCCAAAAGUUUUUGCAUAAUUUUGUUUCCGAUUAUCCGACGAGUUUUACCGAUUUCCGACGAAUUAAACGCCGGAACUUGACAGCAUGCCGCCGGAAGAAUCAGUUUCGAAGUCACUUCUCGACAAGCCGCUUCAGCAACUCACUGAAGAUGACAUUUCUCAGCUCACUCGCGAAGAUUGCCGCCGUUACCUCAAACUUAAAGGUAUGAGAAGGCCGUCAUGGAAUAAAUCACAGGCGAUUCAGCAAGUGAUAUCACUGAAGGCUCUCCUUGAGACGACGCCAGAUUCCGACGCCGGCACUCGGAAGAAACUUUACAUUCCUCGCUCCGACACUAAGUUACACCAUGUCCAGAGAGGGAAAAAUACUGAUGAAGAAUUUAUCGAAUUGGCUGAAGAGACAGUGCCUGAUGGAAGAACACUACAGGAUAAAGCUGAUCUUUCCGGCGAUGCAACUCCCAAUCUGGUUGCUGCUAUUGAUAAAUCAGCUCCUUCUAGAACAAUAGGUUCAGUAGAUACAUCAGCAGGACAAAUGACAAUCUUCUACAGCGGCAAGGUGAAUGUCUAUGAUGAUGUGCCUGCUGACAAGGCACAAACAAUCAUGCGUGUUGCUUCAAGCUCCCUUUGUGUGCCUUCAGAAACUCCAUUGAAUGCUACUGUAGCAGCUCAACAUUCAACAUGCUGCUUACAGGUUGCAAAUACUAAACUACGCCCAGAUUCUGAUAUGGUACUUCUGCCGACUAUUCAAACAGAAGCAGUAGAGAACCCCUCAAGCAGGAAAGCAUCAGUACAACGAUAUCUUGAGAAGCGAAAAGACAGGUGAAGGUUUAAGUGCAAGAGAAAGGUAGAAAUAACUUCAACAGCUAGCUUGGAUAUCCGUUUAAAUGAUCGAAUGGGAGCUCUUAUCCCAAUGGAGCACUCAAGUAGGACUGAUCUUUGCUUUCCGCCCCUCAUUAGACUAUCUUCUGCACCUACACCAAGUGGUCCCAUAGAAGAAAAUAUUCAGAUGAAUGCUACUUUUUCUAGUGGUCCCAAUGACAGAGAUGUUUAAAGAAUGAUCAUUGGAUACGGUCAGGGGCGCACAACAGAUAUCGAUUUUGUCUUCAUCUGAAAUUUGUGGAGGCCACAACAUGUUCUAGCCUCUUGAUAGUUGAAUGAAGUAGGGUGCUGGUAGCCCCCUUUUGUUCACUAAUAUAUGUAAAAAAUGCCAUUUCUAUUUAGGCUAUUUUCUGUACUCAUGUAAAUGAAGAGAGAACUAGUGAGAAAUAGUUAUCCGCCAUGCGGUGUUUGUGCUUUCAAAGUCUUGUAGGAGCUAGUCUGCAUUUAUUGUAUUAACUUUUAGGCAGUAUCAUUGUCCAUAUUGCUAAAACCUGUUCUCAGUAGCCUCACUAACUUGGAAUCAUAUGCCCAAUUUUAUUGUCUGUACUUUUCUUUUUCUAA